UGGAAGACCGGGAUGGUGCGCGUGCGCGCCUAACGAUGGUCUGCGCGUCAAACGGCUUUGAAGUGCGAGGUGAAAACUCUCCCGUCCGUAGUGUGUCGCUGCGCCGGUGUUCCUGGAUUACGGCGUGUUCCGCGCACACGUGUGUCAUUUGAAAGCGCAGUGGGCUCAACUCGUGUAUGUAGUUCGCAGUCCUGCUGCCAGCAUCGUGGUGGCCGAGGCAGGGCAGGGGCAGCCAAUACGCUCUGGCUGCAGCGUGUCUCGGGGAGGAAUGCAGGAAGCAAGAUGAGACUGGCCUGGGCCGCACACCCUCCCCCGCACCCCACCCUCACCUGCUGAUAGCUCUGCUGCUGAGGGCCAGAGGCAGAGCCAGGUGGCAAACUGAAAUCAGAGUCCUGGAAAAAGGACACAGCCGCUGUAAUCCUCCUGGCUCACCUCCCCCGCCAAGACACGUAACAUGAGUGACCCCGACCAGCGCCUCCAACCCACGAAGCAUCCACGAGCAGGCUGACCGCAUGCCCUGUCUGGGCUGCCUGGGAGCCCGGCUGGUGUCAGUAAGGCUGCCCCUAAGGCCAUCCAGUGGCACCUGCCCGGUCCCAAACUCCACGCCAACACUCCUCCCAGACAGUGCUCAGCUCCCAACUUACGUCUAAAUAAGAGACAAACCUGUCUAAGCCCCCGCCUUCCCAAGUACCAAGGGGAAAAAAAGAAUUAAAACAAAGGCUCACUUUUGG